rnacentral:rRNA from 1 species
UACAGGUGGUGCAUGGUUGUCGUCAGCUCGUGUCGUGAGAUGUUGGGUUAAGUCCCGCAACGAGCGCAACCCUUGUUCUGUGUUGCCAGCAUGCCUUUCGGGGUGAUGGGGACUCACAGGAGACUGCCGGGGUCAACUCGGAGGAAGGUGGGGACGACGUCAAAUCAUCAUGCCCCUUAUGUCUUGGGCUGCACACGUGCUACAAUGGUCGGUACAAAGGGCUGCGAUGCCGUGAGGCGGAGCGAAUCCCAAAAAGCCGGCCUCAGUUCGGAUUGGGGUCUGCAACUCGACCCCAUGAAGUUGGAGUUGCUAGUAAUCGCAGAUCAGCAUGCUGCGGUGAAUACGUUCCCGGGUCUUGUACACACC